CGGACAAGAAGAGAGUCGCAGAGAGACAGACAGAUGGAGGAGAAGCAUGCAGCGGCAGAGAGGAGGAGGAGAAACAAAGCGUGUUGACUGAGGAAGUGUGCAUGCCAUGCUGGCCAUGUGCUCAGCCUGAAGUCUUCAUGAUGCACAUCAGCGGAAAGGCGGAAAAAAGACGAGGGCGAUCGAGGGCUCCCGAGCUGCUGGUGUGCUGACUCUGCACUGAUUACUCCCGAAAACACCACUGAACAACCACGUGUUCCCAAAGCCACUUCAAGGAGAGAUGGACUCAGAAAUUCGUGCACAGAAGUGCGGAGUCUUUACAGCCCGGGCGUGACCGAAGCGCCUCUGUGGCCGCUGUCAGUUGCUCAGUAGGCAGUGUAGAUCCUGUGUAGCAAUCAGCAGCUACAUCUGGCUACUGGGUCUCCGACGGCUCUGCCUACUUCCCGCUCGAGCGUGCCUAUCCCGCUACCAUUGGCUGGUGGCGCAUUCCAAUCCUCUGAUUGGCUGAAAUGUCAGGGGGGCUCCAUCCUGUGACCCCCACAGACAGGAUGUUCUCUGUGUCACAACUCCACAAGGGGCCCUUGUCAAGGCUUUUUGUGUGUGUGUAUGUGUGUGUGUGUAUGUGUGUGUGUGUGUUUUUCUCACUCCUUCCUCUUCCGCCAUUCUUUUAAUUCUCCCUGUUUCUGCCUCUCUCUCUCUCUCUGACUCUGUCUCUCCCUCGUGCUCUGUGAGGGUCUCUUUGUACCAAAAUGUCCUUGGUAAAUGCUUUCAAAAGUUAAACUUGAAAUCGUUCUGUGACGGAAAUGUCAAGGAGGGGUGUCAAGCGUUGAUUAACGCCCGUUCGAAGAGCCUUUGAGGUGACGAGAUGUCCCUUUGCUUUGUCCUGAACCUGGCAUACAAUGUAGAUUUCUGUGUGCUUCAAUUCUACAGCUACAUUGUCUGCUGGGUUUCUGGCUAGCAAUAUAAGCGCCCGUUAUAUAACCCUCCGGUGCUCAAAAAAAAGGUAACGUAUUCAUCUACUCUGUCAAUGUGCCUGUGACCCUGACAAUUCAAUAAAAAGAAACUAUUUCACAUUAA